CGCUUCUUGGAAUUGUAGAUGGGCAACUCGUACCCUUCAAGUUUGAAUUGGCUAAAUAAAAUGUAAAAAUAUCGGGCAGAAAGCGUCCAGCCAGGAAGUGUCUCCCAGUGAAGGCAACAGUGCACUUCUUGGGUGCGGUGACGAGCGCAGACCAGGCCGAUGGCUCCGUUCUGUUCCGGCCCACAGACCACCAGGACAGUGGGCUGUUUCUUACUGAGAGAGCUCAACGGGAACGCCUGCAGAACGCAGAAGGAAUGAACAAAGGGAGAGAUGGGCCCUGAAAUGAUGGUCACACUUGACUAGGUCACCAUACUGGCUUCUAAUUCUGUGAUUCUACAUGCAGCAUGAAAAGCGUAUUUACCGGUAAUCCCACGUUAAACAUUUAAAUAUUUAUCGUUGUUUUUAAAAGGUAUAUUCCUCUGUUAGAUUUUCUCUGUUAAACGUGAGAACAAAACAUUAUCCCCUGACCCACUGAAGCUUAAAUCGAGUUAAUGAUGAAGCUGAAGCUGAAUGAAAUUGAUUGAAUUUGCCACCAGAGAAGCAGCU